rnacentral:tRNA from 1 species
GCCCGAGUGGCGCAAUGGUAGCGCAACCGACUUGUAAUCGGUAGGUUGGUGGGUUCGAAUCCCCCCUCGGGCUCCA